rnacentral:rRNA from 1 species
CCUACGGGAGGCAGCAGUGGGGAAUCUUGCGCAAUGGGCGAAAGCCUGACGCAGCAACGCCGCGUGCGGGAUGAAGGCCUUCGGGUUGUAAACCGCUUUCAGCAGGGAAGAAAUUGACGGUACCUGCAGAAGAAGCCCCGGCCAACUACGUGCCAGCAGCCGCGGUAACACGUAGGGGGCGAGCGUUGUCCGGAUUUAUUGGGCGUAAAGAGCUCGUAGGCGGUUCGGUAAGUCGGGUGUGAAACCUCCAGGCUCAACCUGGAGACGCCACCUGAUACUGCUGUGACUAGAGUCCGGUAGGGAAGUGUGGAACUCCUGGUGUAGCGGUGAAAUGCGCAGAUAUCAGGAAGAACACCAGCGGCGAAGGCGGCACUCUGGGCCGGUACUGACGCUGAGGAGCGAAAGCGUGGGUAGCAAACAGGAUUAGAUACCCUGGUAGUCCACGCCGUAAACGUUGGGCACUAGGUGUGGGUCUCAACCAACGAGAUCCGUGCCGCAGCUAACGCAUUAAGUGCCCCGCCUGGGGAGUACGGCCGCAAGGCUAAAACUCAAAGGAAUUGACGGCUGAGAGNGCGAGCGACGACGAGGAGAG